rnacentral:rRNA from 1 species
AGAGUUUGAUUCUGGCUCAGAAUCAACGCUGGCGGCGUGCCUAAUACAUGCAAGUCGAACGCGAAAGCCCCGCAAGGGGUAAGUAGAGUGGCAAACGGGUGAGUAACGCGUGGGCGACCUACCUUCGAGUGGGGGAUAACCUUCCGAAAGGAGGGCUAAUACCGCAUGACAUCCCGUGUUUGGAUACACGGACAUCAAAGUCGGGGAUCGCAAGACCUGACGCUUGGAGAGGGGCCCGCGUCCGAUUAGCUAGUUGGUGGGGUAACGGCCCACCAAGGCUUCGAUCGGUAUCCGGCCUGAGAGGGCGGACGGACACACUGGGACUGAGACACGGCCCAGACUCCUACGGGAGGCAGCAGUAGGGAAUUGUUCGCAAUGGGCGCAAGCCUGACGACGCAACGCCGCGUGGAGGAUGAAGACCUUCGGGUCGUAAACUCCUUUCGACCGAGAUGAACACCCACCGACCUAAUACGUUGGUGGGCUGACAGUAUCGAGGGAAGAAGCCCCGGCUAACUCCGUGCCAGCAGCCGCGGUAAUACGGGGGGGGCAAGCGUUGUUCGGAAUUACUGGGCGUAAAGGGUUCGUAGGUGGCCUGCUAAGUCAAACGUGAAAUCCCUCAGCUUAACUGGGGAACUGCGUCUGAGACUGGCGGGCUUGAGUGCAGGAGAGGAACGCGGAAUUCCAGGUGUAGCGGUGAAAUGCGUAGAUAUCUGGAGGAACACCGGUGGCGNNNNCGGCGUUCUGGACUGCAACUGACACUGAGGAACG